rnacentral:pre_miRNA from 1 species
AGAGGGAUAGUUGGAUCAAAUGGUAGCUCCAUUCCCAGAUUUCCAAGGAAUCUCCAUACUAUUUUCCAUAUUGGCUGUACCAAUUUGCAGUUCCACCAGCAAU